UUUUCUUUUUUGUUAAAAUCUUUUAUCAUUUUGAGUAAGCUCUCUUAGCUAAUCAAGUUUGGAAGCUACAUCAUAGACCAACUAGUUUCGUAUACAGAGAUCUACACGGACACUACUUCUCACGAGGGACGUUGUUAACGGCUAAAGAAGGAUCAUAAGUCACAACCAUCUUAUGGUUGGACCUCCCUUCUAGGAGGUCGUGGUGUGCUACUUACUGUGGCUCAAUGUUAUAUAGGCAAUGGUAGAAGCAUCAGAUUGGGUCAGGAUACAUGGCUCCCGACAAUGCUAUAGACUACCUCCACUUAAUGUUGAUCCGAACUUACCACUUUCAAGUUCUACUCCACACAAGUACGGAACUCUGGAAAGAGGAUAUGCAUGCAAAUCUAUGUCUCAAAUGAACAUAAUGAGGAAUCUUUUUCUCUCAUACUAUAUGUGAAUUUGGAGAGUUUCAGAAUAUAUUUAAAUCCAUAAUCAGAUUAUAAUUUACACUCACCGAAUCCAUGAUAAGAUGUCGGAGAAACAAUCGAUACUUGGCAAAUAGAUUAUUAUUCACAUAAAAGAGAGACAAAAAAAUAUUGAAAAGAAUUUCAGAAUCCAUGUAAUUUUACAUCAUAUUUUCUGGACAAAUGUGUUAAGUUAUUGCUUUUUCUAUGUGAGAGUCACUAAGAAAGUGUUUACCUCUAGUCUAAGAUUCUGAGUUACACAUGGAAUUGUAUGAAAUUGGACAUCAAGAGAAUGAGUUACUAAAGUGAAUUCCUCCAAGUCAAUUGAAUAAACAGCCAAUUCAAGAGAUUAUAUACAUACAAUGAUGGUGAUAAAAUCUUUAUUGAAAAGAAGCUCAAUUAUAUAUCUAUACAUGAAGUUCUUAUGAAUUUGUUUGCAUAAUGUACUUCUAUAGGAGAAUUUUUAUACAAUACUGUCUUUAACCACCUCCAUUAUCAGAUCACAAGUUCCACUCUAAGAAUCCAUUGAAUUAUAUACCUGAGAAAUGUGAUAUCAAGAGAAAAUUGCUUAAACUAAGUUUCUGGUCAAUGUAUGUAGAUAAUUCUGUUCUGUAGGAGAGUUUUUGUAUCAAAAUAUGUGUUUAACAGAUUUUCAAAUGAUUCAUACUUUUUUUAUAUCCAAUAUUGAUGAAGAGUUACUCUGAUAAUCUUAAAAGUAGGUUAUGUAAUGUGGGAACAUGUUAAGAAAGAAAUAUUGAUCUCUUUAUUCCUUAACCAGCGCAUAGUACAAUAUUCAUGGAGAGAAGACUAGAACACAAUUUCUAGCUUCAGCUCUCAUCAAUCUCACAUGCGAGAUUUUGUACAAUCAAUUGCAUAAUAUAUCCUCUCUAAAAAAUGAGAGAUCCUAUCUAUACUACAACUGUAAAAAAUUUUGUUCAAAGUAAUUCGUAAUUAGUCAAUUUUACAUCCAUCAAUUUAAAUAUAUCUCUUAACGUAUAAGACAUACAUAAUAAAGAAUAUCAAUGCUAAACAAGCUCGCUGGAAAAGAUAAGAACACUACUAUAUAAAGUAUAACCCAAAGAUGAUAUAUGGAUUUAGCUAGACGUGAUUCUCCUCAAAGCUAGGGUAGAAUUUCUCGGAAGCCAUGUUUAAUGGAACAAUCCUAUUUCUUAUGAGAUAUGUUUUUCAAGUUUCCGUGCACAUUAUUUGGAGAGAACGAAACAAGAAACGACAUGGCAAACAACCCACCUUACCGACAAUACUUAACCAAGUCAUCGACCACAUAGCUCGAAAACAAAUAUCAUCUCUUCUCGACUUGAGCUCUAACAAAUUCGAGGACGGACUUCGUAUAAUUUGGUUUGGCUCUAGAAAUUCUCAGGGAAUCUUUCUAAAAAAGGUUACAUUCAAUGUAAAAAUGGUUUUUUUUUAGUGAAUAAAAUUUACAUUCAUAUAAAAAAAAGAAUUUUUUAUGUGCUUAUUUUAUAAAAUUCUUCUCAGUAUCACAAGACUUCAAAAAAACAUUGUCAAUUCAUACAAAAAUUUCUUUGAAAAUUUUGAUAGGAUCAAUUUCCUACCACUUUUCUACAAGGUUGUCACAGAAUAAUUAUUUCGUAGAAAAAUGGAAAGAAAGUUUUAGAGAAAAAAGUCAUAGAAAAUUUUCUACGAAACUCAUACAAAAUAUAUAGCCGUAGGAAAUUUCGUAAAAAAUUGGAAGAAAAGUCAUGGGAAAGGCAGUGGUAGAAAAUUUGAAGGAGCAACUUCUUUCCAAAUUCAUACGAAACGUUUCUCGUAAGAUUUCGAAUAAAUCUAGUAGGAAAUUCGAAGAAAAAUCAUGGGAAAAAGCCGUGGUAGGAAAUUCGAAGGAGCACCUCCUUCCAAAUUCCUAGGAAAAGUUUUUCGGAGGAUUUCGAAGAAAUCUCAUAUGGAAUUGGAAAUGGUCAUGGGAAAAGACAUGGUAGGAAAUUCGUAGAAGAAAGUUCAUUCCAAUUUCCUAUGAACUGCCUCUCAUAGUAUUUUUGAAGGAAUGUGGUAGGAACAUUAUACCAACAAAUUUUGUCGUAGGAAAUUUCCUACGACAAAAUUUGUUGGACAUUUAUAAACAUGUGAAAAAAUGAUUGUCUGCCAAAUAGGUGGAUAUGGGUAGGUUGGUGUAAUAGUAUAUAUUUUCAAAGGAAAUAGGUAGGUAAUCUAUAGAAAAUUGAAACUCUUUUUCUUAAUAUAAACUCCAUUCACAUUCGUUAAAAUUACAACAAAAACAAAAAUAUCAUCUACAACAAAACAAUUUUCAUUCCAAAAAAACUAAAAAACAUUUCAUACAACAAAAAACACAGAAUUAAUUUCUAUAAAAAAAAAUACCAAAAAUAUUCUAUAUGCUCGAAUAAAAAAAAGCAUCUUUUUCGGACAUGGAUAGACUAGGAAAGAUUUGCAUCUAACGUGUUAUUUACGACCAAGUAUACGGCAUGCCUCACCGAAUUCAUUACCCUCACAAUGAUCAGGAGUCUUGCUUAAAAAGUGGUAGGAUGUUUUUUCCUUAUCUAAUAUAUGAUAAUAAUGCAUUUGUCAAUAAAACUUUAGUGUGGUCACAUUUAUAUAGAGACGGAAUUAUGCAGAGAUACAAAAUCUGGUGUUAUCACUGGGAAAGUGAUACAUACCAUGUGGGUACUACUAGCGAAAAUGUCCCAGAUAGGGUAGAAGAAUCUACAUUCGCAGAAGAGGCGGUAGGUACGGUUCAAAUGGUACACAAUUUCCUAAAUGCAUCGUGAACCAUUUGAACCGUACCUACCUCUUCUUCUGCGAAUGUAAAUUCUUCUACUCUAUCUGGGAUAUUUCCACUCGUACUACCCACGUUGUAUGUAUCACUUUCCCCGUGAUAACACCAGAUUUGUAACUCGACAUAAUUUUGUCUCUCUAUUUGACCACACUACAACCUUAUCGCUAAAUGCAUCACUAUCACAUAUUAGACAAGGACAAAACAUCUUCCCAUUUUUUAAGCAAGACUCCUGAUUCAUUGUGAGGGUCAUGGAUUCAGUGAGGCUUGAUGCAUACUCUGUCUUCAGCAACACGUUAGAUGCAAAUCUCUCAUUUUCUAUCCAUGUCCGAAAACGAUGCAUUUUUUAUUUAACAAUAUAGAAUAUUUUUAAUAUUUUUGAUAUGAAUUAUUUUUGUGUUUUUGUUGUAUAAUUUUUUUUGUUUCUUUUUGGAAUGAAAUUUUUUUGGGUUUUUCUUUCUGUAGAUGAUGUUUUUUUUUUGUUAGAAUUUUAUCAAAUGUGAAUGGAGUAUAUAUAUCAAAUUUUAUACAGUUUGCCUACCUAUUUUCUAUGAAUAUAUAUAUAUAUAUAUACUAUUACACCAACCUACCAAUAUCCACCUACGUGCGCGACAAUCGUUUUUUCACAUGUUUAUAAAUUCUACGACAUAUUUGUAGAUAAAGUUCCUACCGUAUUCCUUCAAAAAUGCUACGAGAAACUAUUCGUAGGAAAUUGGAAGGAACUAUCUCCUACGAAUUCCCUACCAUGGCUUUUCCCAUGACUUUCCUUCCAAUUUCCUAUGAGAUUUCUACGAAUUUCCUACGAAAUUUCUUCAAAUUUCCUACCACGUUUUUUUCCUAUGGCUUUCAUUCUAAUUUCCUACUAGAUUUCUUCAAAAUCCUACAAGAAACUUUUCGUAGAAAUUUGGAAGGAAGUUUUUCAUUCGAAUUACCUACCACUGCUUUUCUCAUAACUCUCCUUCCAAUUUCCUACGAGAUGCUCUACGGCUAUAUAUUUUGUAAGAUUUUCGUAGGAAUUUUCCUAUGACUUUUUUGACGACUUAUUUCGUAGAAAAUUUACUUCCAUUUUCCUACAAAAUAAUUAUUCCGUGACAACCUGGUAGAAUUGUAGAAAUUGAUAUAUCCUACCAAAGAUUUCCUACGAAUUUGACAAUGUUUUUUUUUGUAGUAACGUAUCUUGUUUAAUUGUGUAGUGUUCUAGAUAUUCAAAUGGGUUUCUCACUGAAAAAACCAACUAUGAUGACCCGAAAGAUGAUUAUCGGGGCUGUUCUAGACGUUGCAACAUACGAGAGUGUGGUUAAGGACGAUGGGGUUAAUCCCAUGACAGUGACAAUGCUACCAUUCGGCGUUGUCUUACAUCCCGCAAAUGAGAAACGCUUCACUUUGUCGGUUGGUUAUCAAUUCGAGACAGACAAGGUUAACGCCGAUGAAGCGAAGAAAAUGAUUUCUCAAACUUUGAGAAACCUUACCAAUGCUCUCCCUCGGGCUGAAAAGUGCCAAUAGAUGUUUAUCCUCGCUCCACGGGAUAGUUGACUCUUUGCUUUGGGCAAUGCAGUGCCUAAUAUCACUAAGUGAAUUGAGGGUCACCUUUGCAUUUGAUUGCUUUGAUAUUAUCUCGAUGAUUGACAACUAUGCAGAGUGGCCAAGCUUUGCAGUGGAGAUGGCCAUUUUUCAAUUUUUUUCUUAUCUCUGUUAGAUUUAUUCCUCGUUGUAACAAUGUUCGGACUGAUUGUUUAGCCAAGAAGAUGCACGUUUGUGGUACUCUCUUUUUCCACGUACGCUCAUCGGUUUCUAAAUGAUUCUCUCUAAAGAAGAAUCUCUUUUCAAUAACUUAAUAAAAUUGGUGUGUGGUAAAAAUAAAAAUUUACGCUGUGUUUCUGUUAAAAAAUAGGUGAUCCAAAGUUGUCUCAAAAAACAUUCUCAUACAUCAGUUCGUUCAAACAACACAAAAUCAUCAUUUAUAAUUAGUUGGAGUGGAUAUAAACAGCUAAAUGCCUCAAUCUAAACCGGAUUCUCUAAAUCUCAACGGGCUCAAGGCAUCUCCUUUUAGAAAGCUUAUUGAUCUUACCAGCCAAUUAUAGAUUCUUUGAUAUAUGCUUUCAUCUUCUCGAAUAUGUUUAUUACCAAAAAAAAAAUUGUAUAAAAUCAAAUAAUAUUAAAAAUUUGUAAAACUUAUAUGAACUUCAACGAGGUUAAGAAGAUGUUUCAAGGUUUACCAAAAAUUAUAUAAAAUCAAAUAGUAUUACAAAUUAAUCAAAAUUAUCACCAAAUUAGUUGAUAUUUACAAAAAUAUCUCUAUAGUUUGGGUCUUUUUGGCCCAAACAGUUUACCUGAUAGUCCAGUAACAGGUGAUCUGGCUAUCCCGUGACAUUAGUCGGAAAGCAUUCCAAAUUCGGAACAGACAGUGUGUGGUGGCCCUUCAGAGAGUAGUCUACUCUGAAGCACUUCGGUGUUUUUCUACUGUAGUUGACCGGAUCAGCCGAUAUGGUUUAUAAAUAAAAAAAAAUGCUAUAAACUUUUUAAAAGUUAUUGAAUUUGAAUUUAUUUUUUUUAAAUCUAUUUGUCGUUUAAUCAUGAAAAAAAAAAGAAUAGGAAAAUUAAACGCGUAAGAUCUAGUCAAUGUGGUCAUGGGAUGGGUCACCUAAUCAAAUCUUUUUCUCCCUAAAAAAAGAAGUAAAAAAAUUUCUCUCAAUUUCCUCGAAGAAGAAGAAGAACAUUAACAAACUUAAAAAAAAAAUGUCAAAUUGUCAAAAACUAAUAAACCAAUCAAAUUCCUCCAUUUUUUCCCUCUUUUCUUUUUCUUCUUCCUCCCAAUCAACUCUUCAGAUUCCAGGAAAGAGAGAAAGAAAGAUUCAAUCUUUAUUAGCCGGAGAUGAUGAAUUCGCCGAACUGGGAACUCCGUGGUUGUUGUAACCGGAAUCAAAAUACUUUCCUUAUCACCAUCGGAAUCUUCACCGUCGUUAUCCUUCUGGUAAGUUUUUUCUAAUGUCCGACUAUAAAGUUUGAAACUUUAUUUGUUAUCUUCGAUUUUGAAUGGGUUUUUGUAAAAUUUAGUCAAAAGGGUUUCCGAUUCACUUAUAAUUUCAACGAAAUUUUGCGAAUUUUGCGAUUGAAGUAUCAAAGUUUUUGUUUUUAUGAUCUGGGUUUUUGGUUGUGACAGCUAUGGAGGACAUUUCUAUUGACUCCAUUUAAACUCAUUACGGUGUUUUUGCAUGAAGCAAGUCAUGCCGUUGCUUGCAAGCUUACAUGUGGAGAUGUAAGGAGCUUUCUCACUUCAACUAUUAGUCUUCAAUGAACUUAAAAGGGUAUAAAGUUGGUUUUAGGUCACUUGAACCCUUGAUUUAGUUUGCAAACAUGAAUUGUCUCCUUCCAUUUUGUUUGAAAGAGCAGAGAAGAUAUUCUGGUUUCCUUAGAUAGAAAGGUUUUUACUUCAGCAAUAUGUCACUGCAUUCUCUCUGGACAUGAUUGUUAGUAGAGCCAUAGAUAAGAGGUUGCGGUAUCCGUAUUUGUCUUGCUAUCUGUUAUAUUCCUUACUUUAUUAGAUUUGUAUACGAUUCUCGCUUGCUUCCAUUGUUAAUGUGUAAACUACUAGCUUCUGUCAUUAUUUAUGAACACACACUGAGUUUACUUGAACAAGUGCAGCUGCUCAAGCUUUAGCUGUAGGUCUACUAUAACUUGCCUAGGACUGAAUGUAACACAUUAUAGCUCUUAAGAAAUGGUUAGAAAGCUUUUAGUGAGGGCUGGUUUAUAAAGAUGUCCCCGGAGAUUGUUAGGGUGUAGAUUCAAUGGCGAUUUUGGUUCUGUGAGAAUAGGAGUGUACAGCUUCAGCUCUUAGUCUUACUAUACUUCUGAUUGUGUUUCUUCUAGAUUGAUUGAUGCAUAUGACAAUAUGCAAGUAUUGCAGAGACAAUGUGAGAUCCACAAUUUUUUCAUUGCAAGUACUGUGUGUAUGAAACUUAUCUACCAUCUUCUCUCUAUGAAUCUUUAAGUUUUAUACCCUCAUAACAUUUAUCUUGAAUAGGCUGUGUAUAGUUUGCACAUAAACCACCAAAUGUGUGCACCAUCUCUCUGUGAUUCUGCAACUAACAGUCACAUAUAAUGUGGAUAAUGUGUUCCUACUAACAAAAUGUCACUCAUUUUGGUUAAUUAACUUCUUAUUGAAUCAAAAGGUAGAGGGGAUGGAGGUGAAUGCAAAUGAAGGGGGUUCGACAACAACACGUGGUGGCAUUUAUUGGCUGAUCUUACCUGCUGGCUGUAAUGCACAAUCUAUCUAUAUAUCUUACUUAUACAAAUCCAUUAUUUUUCGAAUUUAGUCUUAGCCUUUUUGUUGUUGAAUUGGUUAUAGAUCUUGGCUCAUCAUUUUGGGGAAUGGCAUUGAUUCUUGCAUCUACCAAUCUGCUGACAGCAAGAAUAGCUGCUGCUGGUCUGGGUCUUGCUUUAUUCAUCGUCCUAUUCAUUGCCAAAAAUGUAAGAAGAAGUCAUUAUUUCUCUUAUCUAACAAAGUUUUAUUUCAUUAACAUCAAAUACUGAGAUCUUCAAUUUUGACAGUGGACUCUUCGAGGUCUUUGUAUAGGUGUGUUGUCUCACGAAUCCUCUUGUUACAUUUUCUUAGUAAGCACCCACCCAAAAGCCUUACAUAGUUAUAUAAAUAUCAGGUUUCAUAGUUUUCCUCGCUAUCAUCUGGGUUCUACAAGAGUUAACUACAGUCAAAAUUCUCCGUUAUGUCAUUCUGUUCAUUGGUAAGAUACCAUUAAACUCUUCUCCUUCUUGUUAACAUCAUUCAGCCUCAUUUAGCCUAUAUAAAAUUGGGAUUCACAAUGUUACAGGUGUGAUGAAUAGCUUAUUCUCAGUUUACGGUAUGUAAUUCCUUCGUCCCAUUUACUUCACUUAAAAGUUAUGACUUAUGACCAAUAAUAAUGUGGCUGCGAUGUAUGGAUAUUAGAUAUCUAUGAUGAUUUGAUAUCUCGGAGGGUCCAUUCGAGCGACGCUGAGAAGUUUGCAGAGAUCUGUCCUUGCUGUACCGGUUGUGGCUGGGGUGUCAUCUGGUUAGAUUUAAAUACAACUCUCAGUUAUCAGAUUCUGAAAGUGAAAAUGAAAUCCUUAUUCUAACACUUUGUUUCCAUUUCAGGGGAAUGAUUUCAUUUGCGUUUCUUUGCGCGUCGCUCUAUCUCGGCCUAGUGAUCCUAUCAUAAAAGGGUACUCUUGUAUGAAUUUGUUGGUGUCUCUCAGGUUCAAAUUCUUCCCAGUGAAAUGCAGAGACAAUAGUUUGAUAAAAGCUUGAUUCUUUAAAUCCCUUGGUGUGCUUGGGAUUUACAUUGUUGAUUGAAUGUAUUUUUUUUUUUUAGAUUUUGGAGUGUGUUGAAUAGAAUUCAUUGACAAUUUGAUUUGGUCUGUUUAUUGCAUUAAAAGUUCGUUGACUUCUUUAACCCAAAAAAGUCCGUUGACUUCUUCAACAACAAAAAGAAAAAGAAGUCGGUUGACUUUCUAUAAGCUUCUAUUUUUGAACCUUGAAAUUGUUAAAAGCAUUAUUUUAAUUAUUUAUUUAGUUCCUAUUAUUUCUUGUAAGUGAAAUAGAAUGUUUUGAAGAUAAUUGUCGUAACGGAAAUUCCUAAGUUAUAAAGAGAAUACAACGAAAAAGUCUUUCAACUUUGAUCAAGUCCAUUUUAAUUCAUCCAUCUACACGAAACGAAUUUGUUAAAACCAAAACGUUGAGGACUUGAGGUGAUUUUUUCACUUAAUACACCAAAAUUGAGAAAAUUGUUUUUUACUUUUUACCUAUGUUGCAUGGAAACGAAAACGGAAACGUGGAAGCGAAACGUUUCGGAAACGGGAAACGAUUUUUUUCUAAAAUUAGGGAUUGGAAACGUUUUGGAAACGUGUACACAUAUAUAAUAUAUGUAUAUAUAUAAUAUUAGCAUAAAACUAUAAAAAUGGUUUAAUUAAACAAUAAAGUCUAAAACAUCAAAUAUUAAAUAGGUUAACUAAAAUUCUAAAAGAAAAAAGAUUAAAAGGUUCAAGUUCAAAUAUUUAAUUUAGACAAACAUUUUCAUUUUCAUUUUCAUUAGUUUCAUCGUAGAAUCAUAUAAAGAUGCCUCUAAAUCUAGUUUGUCGAUAAAAAGAUCUUAAAACUCAGAGUCUUCCAAAAUUAGUUAUAUGUAUUAUAAAUUUUAAUCUUUUCAACUUUUAUUUAUUAAGUUUCCAAAGUCAAUAAAAAAAUAUUUGUCGCGUUUCCAUUUUAGAAACGUGAGUUUCCAAACAUAGAUUUUUAGGAAACACGUUUACAUGACGUUUUUCGUGUUUCCGAAUAGUUUCCGUUUCCGAAACGUUUCGGAAACGGGAAACGGAUCUCGAAGAGAAUUUCCAUGCAACAUAGCUUUUUACUAAAAAUAGUUAGACAAAAUUUGAAGGCUUAUUACGGAAUAUCAUUUUCCCACGUUUCAAUGAACAACCUAACAACUGUAAAUGGUGCUUAGAAGGUUUUUUGGUAGUUCAUAUCAAGUUUGUCAUGUCCUUUAAUUUUUUGUUUUUUCUGGUUAAAAUGUUUAAUACCAUGUACAACACAAUAUGGCUUUAGUAGGAGGGGUCGAAUAUCGAAAUAUCAUUCAAUUUUCUUUGGUGGUUUUUUCAAGAAUUAUGCAAAUAAAGUUGUAGGAUAUCUAACUAGUCCAGGUUUGAUCCACGUUGGAAACAAAAAACACAUCUGUGUGGAAAGUCUGGGUUUGGGCCAAAAGUUUACUUGGUAGUCCAGUAACACGCGAUUUGGCUACCUCCUGAUAUUAGUCGGAAAACAUUUCAAACUCAGGACAGGCAGUGUGGUAGCCUUUUGGGGAGAAGUCCACUCUGAAGCACUUCGGUGUGUUUCUACCGGGACUGACCGAAUCAACCGAUAGAGUUUAUCAAAAAAAAUCUAACUAUUUUCUCGAUGGAGAUAUAACUAAUUUGACCGAAUACUAUAGAAUAUGUUCUUCUCCAUAAUAUGUUGGAGUUGGAGAUAUGCCAUAAAAGAUGUUGACACAUUAGGAACAAGAACCGGGUUCAAUAAGUUGAGGAAUACCGAAUACCAAACCGAACACCAACUUGGAGUCGUGGAGAAGAAGAUGACGUAAAGGUUAGAUGUGGAGCAUAACGAACUCCAUGUCACCGCCUAAUUACUUUUUCAACCAUUGACGAAGUCUUCUAACAGUAACCCUUCAUUCUUCAUAUGAUCCCUACUCCACCGUCACAUGAGAUUAGAAUUCUAUAAUUUAGGUUUAUGGCUAUUUUAUGACAUAGACGAAUUCAAUAUCUAAAAAAACACAAUUUAACCUAGCUAUUACAUAUGAUGUCGUCAUGCAUGAUAAUUGCCAACUAGUGGACGGAAGUUUGUAAAAGCUUGCAUCCACGAUUUAAAAUAUUGUUUGCAUGUUGUAUAAUUGAACACGUGAUAUAAAAAUUCUAAAUCUUUCGAUAUCAUUGGGGAAAUAUACUUUUUUGGAAGUUUCCCAUCGUGGAAAGCUCUUACCCUCUGCUAGGGUAAAAUUUCUUACUACUUAUAUUUCUUUAUGCGGAAGCCGGAAGCUAUCUUAUAAAAAAUCGGUCCAUUGACCAUUAAAUGGCCCAUUUCUGGAGUAUAUGCCCGUUCGUUCAUGUAUGAUGGAAAAAUUGGAAUCACACAUUUGCUCGAUAAUAGGAGCGAUUAUGGUGGUUUAGGCCAAACACAUGGACCAAACAUCAGAUUGCGUUUUUUUUCCACUAAGCCAAAACAAAAAAAACAAAAAAUAGUUUUGCUGUGUAAACACAACACACGAACAAAGGUUUUGGCAACCAUUAUCGGUCAUGUCGUAGUGAAAACCAUCCAUAUUGAAAAAUUCAUUCGAUAAAAUCUAUAUUUUGUACAUAUUUUUAUAGUUUUAGAUUUAUAUUCAAGAAUUGUUUUAUAUCCUUUUUUAUGUAUUAUUAUUAUGAAGCAUAUUAUCUUUUAUCACAUAACAAAAUAAUUUUAAAAAAAAAAUCCAUUUUAAAAAAAUUCCCAAAGCAUGCUUUCAUGUGUAAUAAUAAAUAUUAAAAAUGAAGAAUAAAUUAAGAUUUUGGUUUUGAAUUCAAUAAUUUCGUUUGUAACUAUACUAUUUUUAGUUUUGAUAUCCGGAUUUCGCAAAAAUAACACUUUCUAUCAAACUACAUUAAUAUGAUAUAUUAUAUAUUUUAUUGGGGUUUAUAGAUAAAGUUUAAAAUUUUAAAUCUGCAUAUGGAGCGGUUAUAUUUGCGUAUAUUAUAUUUUCUGUAAUCGAAGAAAAAUGAGGCUUCAUAUACAGUUGGAUUGCUAUUAAUGUUAUUUCUUUAUCAAACCAAGCAAGUGAUAACAAAAAUAAAAAAAGGUAUUAAUGUUGAAUUGUAAAUAAAGGAAGAAAUUUAAAUUAUGUCAUUUCAGAAGAGGAAGUAUGUCACAUGUAAAUAGAUCAUUGAUACUUUUCAAGAGAACUUCCACAAGAAAGCCAUUGACUUCUACCUUUCUAAAUUUCCAGCUUGACCCAUUUAUUUCUCAUGAAGUUAUAAGAACUUUACGUACUAGAUAUUUAAUAUGUUUACAAUAUUCAGGAAUUUAAAAAUAUGGUAGUAUCAACUAAUGUUGAAAUCAUUUGAUUUGACUUUUUAUUACCAAAAUUCAUGUAAUUUCUUUUAGUUCUUACCAAAAUAUUUAUGUGGUAUGCUAAUAUUCGUUUUUUAUUCUGAGAAAAUUUAACCCCAACCAAAAUAUUGAGUGGCAAGCAAUGUUCAACUAAUAUAUGAUAAGGAGAACAAAAGUUAUGGCAAGUUUGGAAAAAAAAAUCAAUUUAUUAGCAUAUUUUUGACUCAUGCGCAUCUCAAACUUUUUUCUUGAUCCUUCUUCCUUAUCUUAUCUUUUCUCAAAUUCUAUAUUUCCAAAAUAAAACACGCAAUUUCUAUUAUAAUUAUACAAUAAAAAACUCAAAUUAUCUUCCAAAAAUGUCUUUACCACUAUUUUUCAGAUUUCUCCUCCACGUCUACUGAUUGUCAUAGAUAUGUUUUAAAGAUGAGGCAUUAAUUCUCUUCUUGUUCACACGUAAGUAUAUACUUUUCAUAAUAAAAAAUUGUUUUUUUGUUAAUUCAUACUUUUCAUAAUUUAAUUCAAGGAAUUCUCGUGAACCGAUUUCUAAAAACAUUUACAAAAUUAGUUAAUUAAUGCAUAUCUUUAUUUCUACAUAAAGAAACACAUACAAUAUUUACUAUAUUGCUUCUAUAUUAAUAUUCUUCUUUCCAUAUAUAAAUGAUUGAAUUUUAACCCUCUUACAAGGAAUAUAUUUCAUUUACAUUAUAUAUAGAUUACAAGAAAAGCCCAUCAAUCUAUUAUUCUCUGAUUCAGCGAAGAAAAUAAAUAAAUAAACGGCCAAAAAAUGGGAGCAGACGCAAUCCAAACGAACGGUCACGAUCAAACCAAGUUAACCGGCGGUGAAGAGAUCCAACGGCUGAGAUGUUUCGUGAAGAACUACGAAUGGGGCAAACUCGGACCAGACUCAUUGGUGGCGAGACUCCAAGAGGCUAAUACAGGACAAAGAGUCGACCCGGAGAUUCCUCACGCCGAGUUUUGGAUGGGGACUCAUGAGUCUGGACCGAGUCAUGUUGAAUUCGGGUCGUUGGGUCAUGGUGGGUCUGAUAAAUGUAUGGUUACAUUGAAGUCGUGGGUUUUGGAUAAUCCGGAUUUACUCGGGUCUAAAGUCGUGGACAAGUGGGGUUGUGAUCUUCCUUUCCUCUUCAAGGUAAUGGUUAAUUUCUCUGUUUUUUUUGCUCUGUUUUGAAGAUGUUGCAUUUGACUCUGUUUUUCUUAUUAAUAAAUUGGAUUUUUGUGUGUUUUUAAAAGUUAAAAUAUACAGGUUUGGGUAUUAUCUUAUUAUAUAAACACGUAUAUAUCUACCAAUCAAAAUAUACAUUUUCAGAGUCUGUUUUAUGGUCAAUUUCUCUGUUUUCUUUCCUCUGUUUUGAAGAUGUUACAUUUGACUCUGUUUUUUUUUGUUAAAAAUUUGUUUUUUUUUAAAGUUAAAGCAUAGUUUUGAAUCUAAUGAUAAUUUUUUUGGUAUUGAAUUGUGAAAAUCAUUGUCACAUCUAAAAAAUUUCUGUUUUUUUUUUUUUUUUUUUUGUUCUGUUUUGAAGAUGUUCACAUUUGACUCUGUUUUUCAAAUAAAAGAUUUGGGGGUUUUUUGCGUGUUUUUAAGAGUUUAAAGCAUAUAGAUUUGAAUUUAAAGAGAAGUGUUUUGGUGUUGAAAUGUGAAAAUUUUAGGUGUUGUCAGUGACGAAAGCAUUGUCGAUUCAAGCACAUCCAAAUAAAGCUUUAGCAGAGAAAUUGCAUAGAGAAGAUCCUCUUCUUUACAGAGACAAUAACCACAAGCCUGAGAUUGCUCUUGCUGUUACUCCUUUUCAAGCCCUUUGUGGUUUCGUACCUCUUAAGGUACACAAUUUCAGAUCUUUCUCUCUGUCUAUCAUUCUUUGCAAAAAUUUAGGUCAGUUUUUGGUUCAGAUCAACCGAAAUUACACAAGGGUUUAAGUUCUUUAUAGAUCCGGUUUGAUCGAAAGAAACCGGUUUGAUCGAAAGAAACCGGUUUGAUUGUUUUGUUUUAUUGUUCAAUCGUGAUCAACCGAUUGGAUCUAAAACCAAAAUCGCAUAGAAGUAUCAAAUUAGGUUUAAUAUUGAUUAUUGUAGUACAAAAACCGAAAAAUCUUGAUAGCUAAACAUCUUGGUUGUUACUUGUGCUACAAGAAAAAUUGAACUGGUUUUGUGCCUAUAAUUGAAUCAGGAGUUGAAGGAGGUUAUCACCAAUGUACCAGAGAUCACAGAGCUUGUGGGAAGCAAAGCUGCAGAUCAAAUCUUCAACGUCCAUGAACACGAUGAAGACGAAAGAGUCAAAUCCGUUGUCCGGUUGAUCUUCACGCAGUUGAUGUCCGCAAGCAACAAUGAGACGAAGCAAGUGGUAUCUCGGAUGAAGAAUCGUCUGAUCUCGGAGACCAAACACCGUGAACUGUCGGAGAAAGAGAAUUUGGUUUUGGAAUUGGAGAAACAGUACUCAGGUGACAUAGGUGUGAUUUCAGCCUUUUUCUUUAACUACGUCAAGCUUAAUCGAGGAGAGGCUUUGUAUUUGGACGCAAACGACCCACACGCUUACAUUUCCGGCGACUGUGUCGAGUGUAUGGCGGCUUCAGACAACGUUGUUAGAGCUGGUCUCACUCCAAAACACCGCGAUGUUCAAACCCUUUGCUCUAUGCUUACUUACAAAUUGGUAACUUUCUUUACACGCUAACGUUUUAGUACCUUUCUUUACACGUUAAUGUUUUGGUUCAGCUGAUAAACCGAAUAUCAAAACCAAACUAGUAAUUGUUACUGUUUUCUUUGUUUGGUUUAUUGAUUAAUCGUACCGGAAUUUGUUCAGGGCUACCCGGAGAUUCUGAAAGGAUUUCCUCUAACUCCUUACGUUACAAGGUAUCUUCCUCCAUUUGAUGAGUUCGAAGUGGACCAUUGCGAUCUACCUGGUGGAAAUUCGACGGUUUUUCCGGCAGUACCGGGGCCUUCGGUUUAUUUGGUUAUUGAAGGUCAAGGGAAAUUGCAAACCGGUUCAUCUCAAUUGUUGGUUAACCGAGGAGAUGUUUUGUUUGUUCCGGCUCAUAACGAGGUUCACGUAACCGGAGAAAGUGAUGUGAUGAAGCUUUACAGAGCUGGAGUCAGCAGCAGAUUCUUCCAAACACUCUAGGCUAAAAAUUUAAGUAUAUGAUCUUUACUAAUUACUAUAUAUAUUUAUAAGCAUUCAUAGGGACCAAUUUUCCAAAUUGGUAGGAAUGUGUUGUUUAAUUCCCCGAUGGUGGCCCAUUGCAAAUUAAAAGUUCAAGGAGUUGUUAUUUUUCUAUUUUUAUUUAUAUAUAUACAUAUUUAAACGAACGAACUUUAUAUGUAAAAUAACUAAAAAAUCUUUUUAUCCAAUGUUUUUUUUUUUUGAUAAAAUCUUUUUAUCCAAUGUUUCAGAUUAGAAAAUGUUAAUGUGAUAUAUAUUAUCACGUGUAUUUGUGUUAAUUCGUGAAAUUCCAACGAAAACCUAGCAAUAAUGAAUAAAUUGGUUCAUGUUUCUUACAUAUUAUUUUAAGUGAUAUAUGUCGGCGUCAGAUUUCUUCCUCUCUUCUCUUUUUUAGUUUUUUCUUUUUCCUUUGUAUCGAUUUCUUUUAGCCGGCGGCGGCUCUUCCUUCUUUGUGGCUUAAUCAGAGACUUUUAAGUCGACGGCGAGCAGAGGUAGUUUUCUCAGAUGGAGGUUCGUUGGUGGAUCUACAAUGGGGAACUAUAACUCUCGACGACGGCAGCAGAUCUGGUGGAUUUCUUCGUCAGUCUCUUCGCGGAGGUACCUCUCCUCCGAUGAGCCUCUUUGGUGGCGGCGGCUCAGUGUUAAGAAGGGACAGAGGUAGGCGAAUCGUGGUUUUUCGAGCUUGGCUGUGAAGAUCCUAUCGAUCCCGGGCAGAUUUACAUGAUUCAAGGCUUUCUAGCUAUGCUGCCGCCAACGACUCCCGACAGAGAAUAAAUUAGAUGUAGGGGAGAUAAGAAAACCAUUUGGAUUGUAGAAGAAGAAGGAAAGCUCUCCAUUAAUGCCCCGGCUUCAAGAAAUUUUUGUCUCAGCCCGGUUAAUCCGGUUGAGUAUCAGUCGGAUUAGUAUGUCCGUUUUAGGCUUAGGACCGGAAUAGUGAAAGCCGAGGAGUCAAAACCCUUCUGAAGUUGCGCUUUUGGCGUAGAUGCUAUUAGGACACGCUCUACACUCGGAUCAUGAGGGACUAAUAGCUUGGAAUUGGUUUGGAUCUCAGGAGAGGAUUUGAUUUUCUUUGUGUUAGUAAUUGUUUUCGUGUCAUUGGGUGAAUUUAGGUGGUUUAAGAGAUGAUUUCACUUAGAGUCGUGGUGUAAUUCAUCUCGUUGUGGUUGGAAAAUACAAUGAUUUUCAGUUGGGUAGCGUUGGAUCCGUUAGUGUUUCAGGGUUUUAUUUGACUAAAUCAUUGUAUUUGAGUGAAGUUUGUCGAGGUCAAAUGAUUUGUAAUAUCGAUUUGGUGAAUGAAUAGUUGAUGUUGAGCAAAAAAAAAAAAAAAAAAAAAAAAAAAAACACAAUUUUUCGAUGCGAGGACUCUUCUAGGCUUCUAGCCUAUCAAUACUAGUAUUUUUACAGUCACUUUCGUCUUUGGUGAUGGAUGAGUAAAAAUGCUUCUGGGUUAUUUGGAUAUCCGAUCCAUUUUAAAAAAUCUUGCACAAAAAAUUUGUUGGGUCGGAGUAUAUUUAACCCAACUCAUACACCGGAUAUUCCAUAUUUAAUAAUUACAUAUUUAGAAGAUUUGAUUAAGAUUUAUAAUUAUGAUUCUCCUAUCAUCUUUGUUUGAUUUGUUUUUAACUGUUUUGAAUUAUCAUAUCUUACUAGGAUCGGACCCACGGUCCACCGCGGGAGAAUAUUGGUUUACAUACGUUGCGUUUAAUAUUGUGUGUUUUUUAGUAGAACGAAUCGUGUAGUAUACUUAUAAAUAUUCAUAAUAACGAAUUGUAGAGAAAAUGUAAAAUUGUUUAUAAAUAUACCCAUCGUAUUAAUUAUGAUUUACAAAAUAGAAUUUUGUGUUUAAAAAUUCUAAAAUUAGACGAUUCAUGAGAAUUAGAGCAGUCAAAAUAGGUCAAAAACCGCGGGUCGAGCCCACAUCAUCUCACUAUGGAGCAGAUUUGAGAAAAUAUAUUAAACCCACAAAUAAGCAGACCACAUGGAUUAAUUCGCAGUGGGUCAUAGGUUUAAUCAGUUUUCAUCCGCGGGUUGGCGGAUCAGCCCGCAUAUUAGUAUUUAUUGAUAAAAUUAUAAUUUAUUCAACAUGCGGUAAUUUAAACAAACUUUUAAUAGUAUUUUGAUUUAUUUAUUUAUUUUAGUAGUAUUUUAAAUUUUGGUUACUUUAAAAUUAUUUAAACAAAAUCCAUGGACAAUCCCGCAAAUCCGCAUACAUUCGCGGAACGGGUUUGUAUUUCAUAUAUGCUACCCGCGGGUCGUGCGGACCGACUAACUACAAGUCAAAAUAUUUUUUGUCUAUCGCAAAACGGACUUAACGGGACGAAUCAACUCGCUUUGACAGUUCUAAUGGGAAUAUUAUUUAGUCAUACAACAAAAUGAAGUUUGGACAUAGUAAUAAUAGAAUAUGUAUCUUAUUUGUUAGAUGAGAGAUUGAAAGAUGAAGUAUAAUGAUUAAAAAUUAAUUUUUUUUUCAUGAUUCACAAAUUUAAUAAAUACUUAUCAUCUUGUUGAAUAAUUCUAAAAUCAUAUUCAAGAAAUCUUUAUAAAUUGAAAAUUAAACUUUUUAGGUAAGCUAUAUGUAUGAAAAUAUCAUAAUUUUGAUUAAUCUAAUUAAAUUAAAAUUAGUUACAUGGAUUUCAUAUCUAUUUAAUUUACACGACCAAAAUAAAAAUAUCUAUUUAAUUUACAUGACCAAAAUAAAAAUAUCAAUUUAAUUUAUAAAACAGAUGGGUUAUUUGUGAUAAAUUUUCUAGAAAUCUUUAGAAGCAAGUAAAAUAUCUUUCAAUUAAUGAUAAUUGGCUAAAAUGAGCGAAAUUAACGACAAAAACGUUGAUUGUUAUGAAAUUAGUCCCAAAAAUAUAUGAACAAAUUUAUUAUACGUAAUUAAUGUAUAAUAUUGUUUGGAAUAUGCUUUUAUUAUUAGUUACCAUAAGUACAAUCAGAUUUUAUUUGAUUUCCAUAAAUAUUUGUUUUUAUUUCAAUUUUUCAUUAUUAAUUCGAAUUUAUAUUCCAAAAAAAUUUCAAAGAUCCGAUUUCAGAAUUUCGGGUCAAUUUUCUGAUUUUAACCCGACCCAUUUUCAAUUGUACUUCUCUUUUAAUAGUAUAGAGAUUAUAUAAAGUAUGGUUUUCAAAGUUAAUAACUCAUACGAUCGUAACACAUGGAAAAUCUAUCGAUCUUAAAUUUUAACACGUAUAAAACAAAAUUUCCUUUUUAAAAUAAUAAAAAAGAUAAUUGUAAAUAAUUAUAAAUUUAAAUAAUUUUAAAAAUAUAAAAUAACUAGUAUUUUUACAGUCACUUUCGUCUUUGGUGAUGGAUGAGUAAAAAUGCUUCUGGGUUAUUUGGAUAUCCGAUCCAUUUCAAAAAAUCUUUCACAAAAAAUUUGUUGGGUCGGAUUAUAUUUAACCCAACUCAUACACCGAAUAUUCCAUAUUUAAUAAUUAGAUAUUUAGAAGAUUUGAUUAAGAUUUAUAAUUAUGAUUCUCCUAUCAUCUUUGUUUGAUUUGUUUUUAACUGUUUUGAAUCAUCAUAUCUUAUUAUAUAAAGUAUAGUUUUCAAAGUUAAUAACUCAUACGAUCGUAACACGUGGAAAAUCUAUCGAUCUUAAAUUUUAACACGUAUAAAACAAAAUUUCCUUUUUAAAAUAAUAAAAAAAGAUAAUUGUAAAUAAUUAUAAAUUUAAAUAAUUUUAAAAAUAUAAAAUAUAAUGGUAAAUAAUUAAUAUUUCUAUAAACAAUUAAAAAAUGUCAAAAUAUAAUAAUAAGGAAAUUAUACGUUUUUUAUAAUUAGAAAUAUAUAUUUCAAUUAAACAAGAAAAAAUCAGGCAAAUUUAUUAAAAAGGAAACAUAUGUUAUUAUAAAACUAAUAUGUUCUAUUUCUGUUUCUCAAAGUUAGUAAUUAAUAGUAUUAUAAACCGUUAUCAGUCAAAGAUUUUAUCAUGAUUUAAUUUAAAAUUUGAUAUUAUUUAUCUCAAUUUCCUUUCCAAUUAGAAUAUAUGAUGAUUUAAUUAAACUAAUAUUCAUAUUAUUUAUUUGAGUUUAUUUUUUGAGAGAUCAAAUUUUUUUUUCUUUUUGUAAUAUUUUUUUACUUAACUGUGUUUUUUUUUCCUUAAUUAUUGUGGAUGUCGGAUUCACACACUCAAGUAUUUUUACUAAGCGGGAAAGAUUACUCUUGAGGGACAAAAAAUGAAUAUGUAAAAAGCUAUGAAUUGAUACAAAAAUUGCUAUAGUAUUUCUUGCUCGAGGAAAAGAUCCCCUUUACAUGGCCCUUGGCCAUUAUAUUUAUACAUAAAAAACAACAUUUAAGUGGCUAAUUAAGUACAAUUAUUCUUUCUUAAAUGUAUCCGUUUUGGUCUCAGAAUUUAAUGCUCAACGUUUGAAUUUGAAUUGAUUCCGACCUUCAUGGGCCUCGCCUCUCAGUCCAAAUUACCUUGAACCGACUUAACUAUGACUUCGACUCGUAUCGAGGUGCAAUCAAUUCGAACUUUCUUUGUGGUGUCACCACCUCGACCGCACCCUUAUCUUACAGACCUAAUGGGCCUUAUCCCUUGUGGGCCUUCGUCUUGACUGCGUGGCAAUCUUUGGUUGGUCCCGGACUACUAGUGCGGGAUCCGACACCAACAAUUAUGAUUGUAGUAUUUUUAGAUUGUUUAUUUCAAUUUCUCUUUUCAUAUUAAUUAUCAAAGAUUCAUAUAUCAUCGUGUUUAUAAUUUUUUAUUUUUAGUUUAACAGUUGUAACUUUAAAUUAUUUAUUUUGGUUUCUACGUUCAGUUUAAUAUAAGAUUUAUAAUAUAUCAAAAUUCUAAUGAUUUUAGAUAGCGACAAUGUCAUGAUUUAAAUUACAAUCUUAUAUUAUUUAUAUCAAUUUUAUUUUCUAAUUAGAAAUAUAUGAUGAUUUUAAGUAAAUUUUUAUAUUGUUUAUUUGAAAUUCUUGAAUAUGUAAGAACUUAUAUGCUUCUUCUUUGUUUUUGAUAUUUUGAAUUUAAUUAUACUAUUUCAAAAUUGUUUAUUUAAAUUUCUAUGUUCAUAUUUGAAUUAUAUAAGAUUCAUAUAUCAUCUCGCUUAUAAUUUUUUGAAUUUAUCAAUUUUUAUUGAUUGAUCAAUAAAGUCAUUACAAUCGAGUAUAUAAGAAUCGAACCUGAAACGUUAGCUUGGAAGACUAAGAGAUUUAGUCGAUUUAUCAUAUUUAUAUUUUUAACGUGUCUCAUUAGGAACCACUUUGGUUUCAGUCACCAACUUUAUGAUGAAUAUUUUUAAAUUUAGUUAUUCAUAUAGUAUACUAUGAGUUAUUGCUAUGUGAUAUAUCUUUCAUUCGAAAAAAUUUUGAAUUAAUAAUUUUAGUGGUUAAAGAAACAAUGCAACAGUGAAAAAGUAAAUAUUUUUUUUUACUUUUGUAAGAAAAUUUUUACUUACAACAUUGUUAAUUAAUCUUUUGUUAAAUUUGAUUUUAGUUUUUUUUUAAAAAUUAAACCCGUUCAUCGGACGGGUCCUUUUCUAGUAAUACAUAAAGUAGAAAAAAAUCAAUUUUUUUCUCCAUAACUGUUAUUCAAAAUUUAAAAAACGGACAUAUAUUAUCCAAUUGACGAAAAUGUGUGUUCAACGUUCUACAUCGAUUAAAAUAUUUAAACAAUGAUUCAGAAUCAUAUCAUAAAUAAGAUCAUUAAUAAAAUAAAUGAGUUUUUUGGCCGAACGGGUUUGGAGGGACGGAUUUUUGAAUCAACAAUAAUAAAAAGAUUAAAAUAUCAUUAAUCCGCCGCUUCAAUACAGAUUAAAUCCUUAUUUUUUAAUACUACAAAUAUUAGAUAUAUCAAAUCAGUCUCAUUUAGAAAAGAUUGUAUAAAACCAAAAUUGUCCCGUGAUAUAAUGUCGUGGUCUUAGAGGAUGAUAUGAUUUGUAAACUUUUAUAUAUAAUAAAUAAUUUUAAAAUUUUAAAAUAAAAACAAAUCACGGGACAGGUUAAGAAAUUACGGAACGGGUUAAUAUUUCGGAAAGAAUUUAUAUGGCGGACGAAUUUGAAUCAAUAUUUAUAUACCGCUUUAAUACGAGUUAAAUCCUCAGUUUAUUAAUAAUUGUCUCGUGGACUCGUGGUAUACCGUUACUUAAUAACAAUUGUAAACUAUAAUAUAAAUAAAUAUGUUAUAAGGAGAUACAAUUUACAAAAUAUUUUUAUACUAACUUUAAAAUUAAAUCAUCCGGGUUAAAAUCUAGUCUUGUUAUAUAUCAUACUAGAAUUAUCCUAUUUUGAGAUUCAUGACUAAUCAAAAAGUCAAAGCAAUCAAAUGAUAGAGUUUAUGGUUGUUCUAUAAAUUGUUUUGAGUUUCAUGAGCUUUCAUUUCAAAAAUCGAUAUAUCUACUUGUAUAGUUUUAUCUAAUCCAAAUCAAGAUAUCAGAUUAUCCUUAUGUAAUUUGAGUUGAUCUAAUCAGUAUACGAUAAAACUGAAGUGUGAUUUGCACUAUUUUGUAGUAACAACACUUUGCCUCUAUCAUUAUUUGGCGUCAAACGAUGACGUCUUAAGCUUCUUAACAUGUCUUCUUCACGUUAAAUGCAAAGUUUUGUAUACGUGCGCAGUGGUGAUGACGGCCUUCUAACGACUAUUGAAGAUCAAUAAAUAUCACAUUUAAUUACUCUCAUGACUCAUUCCAGUCCAAAUUUGAAUGGGCCUACAAAGAUUAUAUCCCAAUACAAAGUCCAAUUGACAGCAACCUCCGUCACCUGAUUCUCCAAUUCCGGUGAAAAAAUCAUCGCCGGGAAACAAUACUCGGCCAACGAUUCUUCAGUUUUUCACCAACUUUUGUAUAUACGGCUAAAGAGACAUAUAAUACAGAACAAAACAAACUCAAUCGGUUGCUAAAUCCACCAAUAAUCAUUUGGAUUCAGCAAACAAAGUCCAACAGAGAAUGAUAAGAUCUGAAAGUCCACCACCGUUUGCUUAUCGAUCAGCUUCACCAUCUUUUCUGUCGUAGUUGGCUCUUCUCCGUGCCUCCUACCAUUUUUCUCUCUCCAAAUAGAGUGGAUUGUGUUCUGGAACACAUACUUGAGUAUAAAUCCUUUGGUUUUAUCGAUGUCUUUUCCUGCAAGCAUCUUCAUGAUCUCUAGCCAUUUGUCGGAUCCUCAGUCCACUGACCAGCUCCUCCCACACCUUUCUUGAGAACGGGCAUUAAAAAAAUGAGUGAUCUCUUGUUUCCAGCGGGUCUUUGCAGAAGAUACAGCUCGUAUCCACGUUCUUGUUCCAUUUAUCAUUCUAUCCCCUGUUGCUACUCUGUUUUUCACAACUAACCAAGUCAGGAAAGCGUACUUUGGGGUAGCAUUCGCAAACCAGAUCUCAUCAGAGCCUCUCGCCUCCCGGAAACCUAGCUCUCUUCGCGGCUGCCCUUGACAACUAAACCUCCCCGAAAUCCCUCAGUACUUAGAUAAAUGCAUUUGCAGCGCUAACAAAGCUCGGGGCAACAACAGUGCUUGUGCGUCAGAUAUAUAUAUGCGACAAUGAGGAUCCACACCACAAGUCAGGCAAAUUCAAGUAAACCCCUGUAACGGAGCACUUGAUCUGCUCAAGGGCUCGUAGUAGUGUUUUCACAUCAAAUUGGAAGCUAUAACUUCUUUGAUUAGUUUUUAGUGAAAAUAAAUCUCUAGUUCAGUAAUAUAUGUGAAGAGGUUUUCGAGUUGCAAAAUUUCUGCAGAAACCUCAAGAAUUAAACUUAUUGACAAAAGAUAAAAACUUGUCUGAAGUUGUUUGGUCUCAUUGAUUCUUUCAACAACUUAAUAACCCAUAAUAACUAAUUUAACUGAAGCAAAAUCAUAAUGAACCAUCAUUCCAACAUUGAGAGACCAAGAUCACCAAUUUUACUUGCCCUGGUUGUUGAUUAAAGCUUUGGUUAGGAAAUGCGAAACGAUUCCAACCGGACAGAAGAGAAGGCAGAGCGAAACCGAAUGCCUCGUCUCGAUCUGAUUCUCUAACCCAUCAUUAUAAACUUGCCUGCAAAUAAAAACCGAAAACAUGGUUUAUAAGAAACAUGUUCGGAUAAAUUCAGAACCCAUUAAUUGAGAAGAAACAAAUCCGCAAUAUACCGUGCAGCAAAAAGAUCUAUCACAAGAAGAUGAAUCCAAGCAGAAGCAAGAGUCAUUUCACUUGAGAACAUUUUCGCUAUUCCGGACAGCUGCAGAUGAAAUAAAAACAUUAGAAACUGCAUUGAUACAUUCUUGUUUUCGAAUGUUUCGGGAUGGUUGAGGGAAAGCAAAACCUCUGGCAACAUGUAUUUACUAGAAAACAUGUAUUUGAGCGUCUCGGGUGUCCAAGAAAGGUAUAACAAAUAUGCGUAUAAUACGCCUAAGACGAUAUACGGUAUGCUACUCUCCAUACACUUCUUGGUCUGCAAAAAGCAACAUAAUACUCAAUUUAGAUCAACUUCUUUGGUUCUGCACAAAAACUGCAAUAAAACAUAAAACUUACAAUUUCAGCUUUUGGAGCUACAACCAUGAGCGUAUAAAAGGGAAGAACCGCGGUAGUUCCAACCGCAAAUACACUGCUUGCAAUCUGAGAAGUAGUUAACCCUGCAACAUGAAUAUAUAAGAGAUUCUAUCACUCAUUUAAUCUGAGAUCAAAAGUCACAAAUGAGUGACAAAGUUUUAAUCUUUAAACUUCAGUUACAAAUGCAGAGAAACACAUUACAUGAAGCUCGUACACCGGAGAAUUUCUUGCGAACUACAGAGUUAGAAUUCAACGAAACAUUGGACUGAACAGAGAUUCCUGAUCCUCCAAUGAAGCUCCAACGAUGAUCUAAUCUAAUCUUUGAAGAAUCAAGACAAAGUUCCAAUCUUUUAGCCGAAAUGUUGCGUUUCAUCAUCUGAAUUCAAGAAAGAUUCUCUUUUACUUCAUAGAAAUUCAGAAACUUUCAGACAAAAACUCACAACAAUCAAGAACAGAGAUUCUUUAACAGUGACUCAGGAGAAAUAAAGUCAACUUAGUCAAUUCGAAAACCCAUUAAAUUCUUCAAUUUGAGUCAAAAGAUAAAGACUUUUAAGGUUAUCCAUAACUAUUCAAAACAGUAGAACCUCAACACAUAUACGAAUAGUGAAAUUGAAGAAGAAGAUACCGUGAGAGAUGAAGACAAAGGCUGAGAAACGCAAGAAGAAAAAGCCAUCUCUGAUUUAAAUCUGCCAAAAAUUGAUCUUUCAUCACCUUCUUCAACAAACUCUCUGCAUAUAUAUAUAAAUUAAACACAAAGAGGAAUAAUGGUUUGAUAGAUUUCCACUGAAUUAAAAAAUAAAACGGAAGUGGAAGGAAAAAAAGUUGUCUUUCACACUCUUUCUUGCUCAGUGUCCACAAUUAUAUGCAACACUUUUUGCUCAUCCUUCCAUCUUUAAAAACUUCAAUUUCGGUUUAGUUUAUUUAAAUUACUUAGAUUUUUUGUUUAUUUAAAUUAAAAUCUAUUAUAAUAUGGCAUAAUCAGUAGAUUCAGUAUAAUUUUGGUUUAUUUCAAUCAAUGAUAUAUCUAAAUAUUAGUAUUAUUAUUAUCAUAUAAGAUUUUAGUAAAUUAAUUACACAAAAAAGUUCAAUAUAUAAGUACACAUAAAUUUUUGAAUAUAUUGAUGGAAAAUUUAAAUGUAAAUGGUUUAUUUUUGUGUGAAAGAAGUUAUAUGUUAAUGGAGAGUUGUGAUCAAAGUGAAUUUAGGUGGACAAGACACAAGUCUAGUUUCAGGACAGAAAAAGACAAUAGUUAGUGUUUCCCCCAUUAAUUCGUUUUUUUCUUUUAUUAGAUUAUAUAUUUUAAUUUGUAUUCACAACCUGGUUAUUGCAUUAAGAAUUGACUAUAAAAAGAUUUAAAAAAAAAAUACAUUAACGAAAAGAAAAACAAGAAAAAGAUAGACAUGUGGCUAAUACUCAUUGCUUGAGAAAUUGGAUGGAGUACGAAGAUAACUUGGGUGGGCUAUUUGGUAUGAUAACUUAUAUAUCUAUUAAUAGGCCUUUUGGCCCACCCACUUUGUUUUUUUUUCUAUUCCUUUAUCACUCCCACCUAAUUUGUUUAUUUCAACAAAAAACAACACAUGAAAACAAAAACAAAACUUUGGUAACUCCUAUCUAACCAAGUUAGAAAAAGCCUUUGGGAGGCGAUUUUUUAGGUCUAGCCGCCAAACAACUUCUCUUCUCAAAUCUUUGUCGAUACCUCUCUGAUUUUCCGGUGUCCUUGGCCGGAGUCGUGAGAGGGUGUGUCUGUUUAUCUUUUAAUUGAUUUUCCUUUGUUUUGGGUCUUCUUUGGCUUCUCCUAUGGCGGAUUAAAGACAAGAUCUAGAUGGUUGUGCUUCGAUUGGGUUGGUUCCGUUCUAGUGAUGGGUUUGCUUGGUUCUCAGUGGAUGGUCGGUGUUUUCGUCGGAGCCCGUGUGGUUCUUCACUAUUACGGCUGUUUGUUUUUGGAGAUGGAGGUUUGGUUACUUCAUCUUGUUUAUGCCCGUAACUUUUAGAAGCUCUGCAGUCUCGAUUCUGUCUUAGGCUAAGAUUGGAUUGCCUUUGGUUGGGUAAUUUAGUCUUAGUAGUAUGGUUGGUUGAGGGUAGAAGCCUUAGUUUCAAGUUUAGGGAUGGCAAUAUUGACUCCUAGUUCUGCCUCCUGUUACUUUCUGCCCGGUUAUUGGGGUUAUGAGUUUGUGAAGGUUUCGUUUUGUGGGUUCUUCAUUUGGAUGGUAGUCUCCUACAAAGGCAUCUACUAGCUCUCUUCUUUUUCCUUGUUUGGAUUUAAGGUUUGAGUUCAAGACGAUGUGGUAGGCUCGGUCUCUAUUCCUUCUCUUGCGUGGCGUAACAAGUUCUUAGGCUGUAGAUGGUUUUGGCUGGGUCUACGAAUGUCCGCGUGUAAGGUUUGUUGGCCCUCUUUAGCGUUUUCCCCUUCGGAUCUCAAGGCUUCUCCUUGUCCCUUCUCCUACUUGUCUUCUCUGGUUUCUGGUGUGGUAGUGAUGGUUAGGAUCUGUGUUCUGAUUCUCUUUUAUCUGUGCUCGUUUCUGCUCGGGGUGUGGUUGUGUGAGCUUGGUUUUGUAUCCUUCUCGGGCCUUUCAUGUAAAGGCAAUCUAAUGAUGGGUCCUCUUGUUGCUCCUGUUUGUAACCACUUUCCAGCGCCCAAAAUGUUCUAUGGAAAUGUUCGUCGGAUUCUUUUCGUGAAGAGUUUGCAGUUGUGUUGCUUGAGUCUUAGAUAUUAGCUUUUUCCUGUACUUUAAGGUUUUCCUUCUUUUAUGUCUGCCUUUUUUGGCUUUUGUCUUUGGGGGUUUCCAUGUAUCCGCCGGCUUAGUUUUCCGGGGAUUAGAGUCCCGCCGGGGUUAGUAUUUUACCAUGUAUCCCAACUUUGUAUUUCUCCCUUGGUUAUAUUUCAUGAAUUAUUCAGACGAAAAAAAAAAAAAAAGUAAGUCCUAUCUAUCAAUCUUUAUGUGGUAUUUGAGCAUUUCGAUGUAUUCGAUGGCGACCAAAACCUUUUGAAAAACAAUAUGUAUAAUUCUUGAAAUUAAAUAGUAAAAAAGUUAUUAAAAAAUGGGUAAAAAAGUUUUAAGAUAUUUGAAAACUUUCCACUAUAUCAAUAAUUAAUUAGAAAUGUUUUUUUUUUUUAAUAAAAUUUGAGUUUUUACGACCCACACAUAGCAUAUCCUAUUUCGAAAGUACCUAAACAAACGGUUCCAAAAUAUCUUUAUGUGAAUUUGGGUCAAGCCCUUCGAUUGAAGAAAAUAUAUGAUCCACAAGAUGCUUGAAUAUACUUAGUAAAAAUGAAUAUUCAAGACUCUUAUCCAGAAUCCUAUCCUAAAGAAGGCACGUCCACUAAUGUAUCCAUCACUAGAUUUCAAGUGGGUCAUCUUUUACUUAAAGAUAUUGUUAGUCUAAACCUCUCAAGCUCAUUAAUCAUGUGACAAGAAUUGAAUGUGAAUCUAAUUUUUCUAGUGAUUUCUUUAGCGACACUAGAUAUGCUAUGGUUCUUCAACUUGUAAAUUUCAUAUUUGGAGCCGCAUUGUCCUCUUUCAUUUUGUUCAUAUGCAAUUCAAAUUGAAAGACUUAUAGAACAUUACAUAUUUAUUUCAUCAGACAGUUGAGAAUCCGAUAGAAAAUGUCUCGCAAACCGGAAAACAAACGUUAAAUCCGGAAAUUAAAACCCAUAAAAAAAGAAGAAGAAAAAAAGCAGAAGAACAAGGGAUAAAAUCAAAGGUGGGGGAUAAUGUUUUGAUGUUUACACAGAGCAAAGGGAAAUUAACCGGUGAAGCUUGGUGGCUUGUAGGCAAUGAAACUGAUGCACUGCACUUGACGGCUGUUGUCGAAUCCGAUGAUCCUAAUGAAGGCUUCAGGGUACUCCUUCUUGCACUCUUCCACUUCCUUCAACACUUGAGCGGAGUCGGUGCAACCGAACAAGGGAAGCUUCCACAUUGUCCAGUACCGUCCAUCGUAGUAUCCGGGGCUGUUACCGUGCUCACGGUACACAAAUCCGUGCUACAAACCACAUAUAUUACAACCACUCAGAAAAACAUUUUGUAUAUGUUUAUAUAAUUCAAGAUUCCUAAUAUAUGAAGCGAAUUACUAACCUAAUUUUCCUAAGAUCUACCUCGUUUAUAUAUAUGUUUUAAGCUUUUAUUAAUUACCUCCAACUCGAAUUCAACACAAGGAAUCCACUUGUUGCGGAGAAGGUAGUCAACUUCCUUAGCCAAUUCGGAAUCGGUAAGGUCAGGAAGGUAAGAGAGAGUCUCGAACUUCUUCUUUCCAACGGGAGGCCACACCUAUAUUUUUUUUUUUUAUCGAUUUUUCGAAUCAUAUUAGUUCAUGUAAAUCUAAUUAAAAACCGAUAAUAAAUUAAAAAGUGAAGAAGAAAUAUAUAUGACCUGCAUGCAGUUAACUCUUCCGCCGUUGCUUGUGAUGGAAGUAAUGUCGUUGUUGGCCUUGCGGGUGGCUGGGAAGGCAGCGGAGGACUUAAGUCCGGUGAAAGGAGCGACCAUUGUGGCCUGAGCCGGAGAGGCAACCAUAGUAGCGGAAGAGAGCAUAGAGGAAGCCAUUGUUCUUCUUUAC
rnacentral:lncRNA from 1 species